UGUUUGGAAUGUGAAGCAGAACUUCAGAGAGAGAGGUGAUCAAAAUGGACGGGAAGAAAAGGUAGAAAAACUGGUGAAAGAAAAAUGCAUUAAAAGAUUCAUGAAAAUGAAAAUAGUGGACUGAAUAGUGGACCCUAGGUAAAUCCUAAGGCCGAUUGAAAGAUCUGCACUUUGCUGUCUCUAUGGGAGAUCAGUGAGAUUUGGAGAGGAGUGUGCAGCCUAGAGGCCAAGAAGGCUGGAGAUGGGGUGCGACCCCAUAUCUUGCUGAUCAAAGCAUCGAGAAAGUUUGAAAUCAAUGAGGACGAGAGCAGAAGCACCUGAGAUGUUGUCCUUGAAGUUAAAAGAGAACUGAUAUAAAGUACAAUGAAUCAUGCUGAAUGUCCUGGAUGAUUAUACAAGUUUCAAAAUAACAAAAAAAGGAAAAGGGCCUGAAGCAAAAGUAUGGGCACCCUGCACGUGCCUGCCAGAUGAAUGCAUACAGGUCGAUAUUUGCUCUUCCAUUCUUUGGGAAUUAUAAACUGAAACCUGCAGCAAUGGCAGUAAUUUUAUAGCCCCAUGAUUACAUGUGUGAAUCAGCAUCUCCUAACACCUGUUUGGUCCUAUCCAAUUUGGUCUCAUUCUUCCAUGAGAGCAAUCCCCCGGGUUACGAACGAGUUCCGUUCCUGAGUCCAUCUUUAAGUCAGAUUUGCACGUGUCGGAACAGUAUGCAAGUCGGAACAGAAAUCAGAUGACAGAGGAGAAGAAGCUGUUCCAGAAUUGCUGAGUGUGUGCCUUCAGGCUUCUGUACCUCCUGCCCAAUGGUAACAGUGAGAAAAGGGCAUGUCCUGGGUGGUAAGGAUCCUUAAUGAUGGACGUCGCCUUCCUAAGGCACCACUCCUUGAAGAUGUCUUGGAUACUAUGGAGGUGGCAACUUCUGCAAGGAUAAAGCAUUCCUCCCUCAAUAAUAACAUUGACAGGAGACACAAUCCAGACUAUUUGAGGGGCAAGUGAUUCGUUAUUAAGAACAGAUGAUGCUCAAUAAGGUUGGACAACACUGUUCAACUACUGAAUAUCAUUAAGCUGUCUAAAACAGUUCCUACAUCAACUGCAUUAAACCCCGUAUGUAAUUUAUUCACAUAUAGGAUAAAAGCAUUGCUGGCACAGUUAACAUUUAGUGGCCAAGGUACCCUUGAGAAGAUCUGUCAUGAAUAUAAUUUAUGUAGUAAUAUAUACCAUUACACGUGUUUGGAUAAUAGUUGCCUUCCUCCAAGCCAGCCAGGGUUAUGGUGCUUUUUGGAAUUUCCAUCUCACUGUUUUGAUCUUUGGCUGUUGUCACUUUUGUUGGAAAUUUGCAAGGUCUGUGUUUGAAGAUGUGCAUUCAGCAGGCUUGAAGAAAAUUAAUAUUUUUUUAAAGCUCCCACCUUUUACUGUACGUAAAGAUGAAACAACAUACUAGGUCAGCUUCCUUCUUAAACCACUACAGCCAAUAUCAAGCCUGAAAUGUCACUUUUGGGUAGAAAAUUAAUUUUGUGCUCUCUGAUAAAGGAGCUCACCUGUUUCAAUUAGUCAGUUAUAAUGGGAUGAGAUACUUGGCUUUCCAUGAUGUCUCAGUGAAUUCAACAUGCAGAUUUUGGACCUCUCACUCAAACUCUUCUGUGAGAAUAAUAAAAAAGAGAAAGAAAACAUGCUUGACAUUGGAGAGAUGGAGAAGGAUGAACAGAAGGAAUGUUUUGAGAUCAGGUGCGGACCAAAGUGGGUGAAGGAACAAACACGAGGAAAUCUGCAGACGCUGAAAUUCAAGCAACACACAUGAAAUGCUGGUGGAACACAGCAGGCCAGGCAGCAUCUAUAGGGAGAAGCGCUGUCGACGUUUCGGGCCAAGACCCUUCGUCAGGACUAACUGAAAGGAAAGAUAAUGAGAGAUUUGGAAGUAGGAGGGAGAGGGGGAAAUGCAAAAUGAUAGAAGACUGGAGGGGGUGGGGUGAAGCUAAGAGUUGGAAAGUUGAUUGACAAAGGGAUACAGAGCUGGAGAAGGAAAAGGAUCAUGGGACGGGAGGCCUAGGGAGAAAGAAAGGGGGAGGGAAGCACCAGAGGGAGAUGGAGUACAGGCAGAGUGAUGGGCAGAGAGAGAACAAAACGGGGGGAAAAUUAAAUAAAUCAGAGAUGAGGGGAGGAAGGGCAUUAACUUAAGUUAGAGAAGUCAAUGUUCAUGCCAUCAGGUUGGAGGCUUAAAAUGUGUAGCCACUGGGAGAUCCUGCUUUCUCUGGCAGACAGAGCGUAGUGUUCAGUGAAACGGUCUCCCAGUCUGUGUCAGGUCUCACCAAUAUAUAAAAGGCCACACUGGGAGCACCGGACACAGUAUACCACACCAGCUGACUCACAGGUGAAGUGUCGCCUCACCUGGAAGGACUGUCUGGGACCCUGAAUGGUGGUGAGGGAGGAAGUGUAAGGGCAAGUGUAGCAUUUGUUCUGCUUACAAGGAUAA